UAAGCAUAUCAAUAAGCGGAGGAAAAGAAACCAACAGGGAUUGCCUCAGUAGCGGCGAGCGAAGCGGCAAAAGCUCAAAUUUGAAAUCUGGCUUCGGCCCGAGUUGUAAUUUGCAGAGGUCACUCCCGGAAACGUGCCCGCCGAAGUCCCCUGGAACGGGGCGCCGCAGAGGGUGAGAGCCCCGUGCGGUGGGAUGCCGAUCCGCAGUGGAGGUCCUUCGAAGAGUCGAGUAGUUUGGGAAUGCUGCUCUAAGUGGGAGGUAAAUUCCUUCUAAAGCUAAAUACCGGCCAGAGACCGAUAGCGCACAAGUAGAGUGAUCGAAAGAUGAAAAGCACCUUGGAAAGAGGGUCAAACAGUACGUGAAAUUGCUAAAGGGGAAGCGCUUGCGACCAGACACGGGCUCGGCGGAUCAUCCGGCGUUCUUCGCCGGUGCACUUCGCCGCUGCCUGGGCCAGCAUCGGCUCGCCCGCCGGGGUACAAAAGCUCGGGGAACGUAGCUCCCUCCGGGGAGUGUUAUAGCCCCGGGCCUAAUGCCCCGGCGCGGGCCGAGGACCGCGCAUUUGCAAGGAUGCUGGCGUAAUGGUCGUCAGCGACCCGUCUUGAAACACGGACCAAGGAGUCGAACAUCUGCGCGAGUGUGUGGGUGGAAAACCCGCGCGCGCAAUGAAAGUGAACGGAGGUGGGAACCUUAGGGUGCACCAUCGACCGAUCCUGACGUUCUCUGAUGGAUUUGAGUAAGAGCGUAGCUGUUCGGACCCGAAAGAUGGUGAACUAUGCCUGCGUAGGGCGAAGCCAGAGGAAACUCUGGUGGAGGCUCGCAGCGGUUCUGACGUGCAAAUCGAUCGUCAAACGUGGGCAUGGGGGCGAAAGACUAAUCGAACCAUCUAGUAGCUGGUUUCCGCCGAAGUUUCCCUCAGGAUAGCAGCGCCGAUCUCAGUUUUAUGAGGUAAAGCGAAUGAUUAGGGACCCGGGGGCGCUGAUAAGCCUUCAUCCAUUCUCAAACUUUGAAUAUGUAAGAAGCCCUUGUCACUUAAUUGGACGUGGGCAUUUGAAUGCAACGGCGCUAGUGGGCCAUUUUUGGUAAGCAGAACUGGCGAUGCGGGAUGAACCGAACGCGAGGAUAAGGUGCCGGAGUGGACGCUCAUCAGACACCACAAAAGGUGUUAGUACAUCUUGACAGCAGGACGGUGGCCAUGGAAGUCGGAAUCCGCUAAGGACUGUGUAACAACUCACCUGCCGAAUG
rnacentral:rRNA from 1 species